GACGAACGCUGGCGGCGUGCUUAACACAUGCAAGUCGAACGGUAAGGCCCUUCGGGGUACACGAGUGGCGAACGGGUGAGUAACACGUGGGUGAUCUGACCUGCACUUCGGGAUAAGCCUGGGAAACAGGGCCUAAUACCGGAUAGGACCCUGGGAUGCAUGUCCUGGGGUGGAAAGCUUGUGCGGUUUGGGAUGGGCCCGCGGCCUAUCAGCUUGUUGGUGGGGUGAUGGCCUACCAAGGCGACGACGGGUAGCCGGCCUGGGAGGGUGACCGGCCAGACUGGGACUGAGAUACGGCCCAGACUCCUACGGGAGGCAGCAGUGGGGAAUAUUGCACAAUGGGCGCAAGCCUGAUGCAGCGACGCCGCGUGAGGGAUGACGGCCUUCGGGUUGUAAACCUCUUUCAGCACCGACGAAGCGCAAGUGACGGUAGGUGCAGAAGAAGGACCGGCCAACUACGUGCCAGCCGCCGCGGUAA
rnacentral:rRNA from 1 species